UACGUAGGGUGCGAGCGUUGUCCGGAAUUAUUGGGCGUAAAGAGCUCGUAGGCGGUCUGUCGCGUCGAUCGUGAAAACUUGGGGCUUAACCCUGAGCUUGCGGUCGAUACGGGCAUGACUGGAGUUCGGCAGGGGAGACUGGAAUUCCUGGUGUAGCGGUGAAAUGCGCAGAUAUCAGGAGGAACACCGGUGGCGAAGGCGGGUCUCUGGGCCGAUACUGUCGCUGAGGAGCGAAAGCGUGGGGAGCGAACAGG
rnacentral:rRNA from 1 species